UUGUUAGUUGCCAUCAUUCAGUUGGGCACUCUAGCGAGACUGCCGGUAAUAAACCGGAGGAAGGUGGGGAUGACGUCAAAUCAUCAUGCCCCUUAUGACCUGGGCUACACACGUGCUACAAUGGUUGGUACAACGAAUUGCGAGUCGGUGACGGCGAGCUAAUCUCUUAAAGCCAAUCUCAGUUCGGAUUGUAGGCUGCAACUCGCCUACAUGAAGUCGGAAUCGCUAGUAAUCGCGGAUCAGCACGCCGCGGUGAAUACGUUCCCGGGCCUU
rnacentral:rRNA from 1 species